UCUAAAAUGACAGAGGAUGUUUUUGCACUGGAAAAACCUAUGAAGUUUCCCUACUAUGUUUUAAUUUAAAGAGAAGACAACUCAUGAAAGAAAGUGAGAGGGAGAGAAGCUGUCUGGUUGUUCUGCCAGCCAGGACUGGAAUCACAGGACUUUAGGUCUGGGUCAUAAAUCAAAGGCGACAACACUGUUCGCUCUGAAAGCCAGACAAUUAUUUGAGAAUUCUGUAUCUGUGUUCUAACCGAACAGCAUGGCCAAAGAUAUUAACAGCCAACUUUGAGCAUGACAGCUCCAAACAACCUGCUCCUCCUGGCCUACAGAACACAGUACAUGAAGGCAGCGGAGAGCGAUGACUCCAGUCGCACAAUAUCAACAAACUCAACAGGUCAAUCAGUGUAACUUGAUAAUGCCUACAGUAAAUCUUGAAACCUGUGUGUGCAUUACUCUGAAAACAAGCUGACAUGUUCUCAUUAGAGCAGCACAGCGAGUGACUUACGGAGAAGUGUGAUUCCGUGUUUCUCUUGUUACUUGGGAAAUACUUUUCACUCCCCUCUCAGGAACGGAAGAAAUAGCAAUGUUAGGACACUUAGAAAAACUUCAUAGGUUUUUCCUAAAAGAAGACAAAAAAGGAAAAUCAUGAACGUGUGUAAAGUGGACAAGGAAUGCAUGUAAUCCAAGACCUUACACUGUUCACGAUAUCACUGAGAGAUUGACAAAGAGGAUUUGUGCAUUUAUACUCCAGCAGAGAGAAUAUGAAGAAGAGGACGAAAGAAAUUCUAGAACAAGCCCAAACAUAAGACUCAGAUCAUCACAUAAGAAAUCACUUGGAAAACAAUGUCAGAUUCUGACCAAUCAGGUCUUUUUUAUUCAUUGUCCUUUCCAAAGUAUUAAGAAAUUGCCCUCAGGCUGCAGAUGGGGUGUUUUUACAACCAUUGCACAGCACUGGCGAGUUGGAAUCUUGUGCAUUAUCUUUUUGUUUUGUUGUUCUAUUGUCGCCUUGCUAUGUUUGUAGAGCAUUUAACAUAUUUUUCUAUUCAUGGUAUUUA